rnacentral:lncRNA from 1 species
AAAUCUUCAAUUGCACAGUAUUGUGCAAUAGCAAAUAUUUUCAAUUGCACAGUAUUGCGCAAUAGCAAGAAAUAUCUAAUUGCACAAUAUUGUACAAUAGCAAGAAAUUUUCAAUUGAUUGGAGUUAUCUUUCUUUGUCCAGAAUAGUAGUUGAAUCAACUUAAAUCAUUGUUUUAUACAAUACACAAUGUAUAUUCACUUUUACUACCAACUGAUAAAUUAAAACAAUCUUUACCAUUCAGUGAUAACAAGCACUUUUUGUUACAUUUUAAUAUUUUAUGAUGUAUUUAAAUGAGUAGUUAUUGUUGCAAACUCCAUUAGAAAUUUGAAUUGAGAUCAGUUUUGAAAAAAGGGAAAGGGGGAUGUGAAAAAAAAAUGGUGGUGGGGGGGGGGGGUUUAAUUUUUUCUCAUUUCAGAUUUCAUAAAUAAAAAGAAAAUUUCUUCAAAAAUUUUUUUGAGAGGAUUAAUAUUCAACAGCAUAGUGAUUGCUCAAAGACAAAAAAAUUAUUUUAAGUUCAUUAGACCACAUUCAUUCUGUGUCCAAAACCUAUGCUGUGUCAACUAUUUAUUCAUUCUUGUUCUUUAGCUCCGGUUUGAAAAAUACUCAUCAGAGAUAAAAAAUCUGCCUCAUGAAUAUUAAUUGUUUGUUGACAAUAAGAAAAGUAAGGCAUCUUGUUGAUAUCGGUUUUAGAGGAUUAUUGUUUGAAUUAAGGUAGCAC